GAAAACAACCCUAGGGCCCUCGGGGGGCCAAAAAAUCACGGAAAAGCGGAGCUUACCGGCGGCGGCGCUCUCGGGUACGGCGACUCUCCGACGAGGUUCGUGUUUUGGUGAUUUGGCUUCGGUCAACCUGUAGAGAAAAGAAUGGUGAUCACGGUGAUAUAAAAAUUGCAUCGAACGGAGGCCGGGAAGGGCCUCGUCGGAGGCAAAAACCGAGAGGGGGCGCGGCGGCACCG
rnacentral:lncRNA from 1 species